AUUGAACGCUGGCGGCAGGCCUAACACAUGCAAGACGAGCGGUAGCACAGGAGAGCUUGCUCUCUGGGUGACGAGCGGCGGACGGGUGAGUAAUGUCUGGGAAACUGCCUGAUGGAGGGGGAUAACUACUGGAAACGGUAGCUAAUACCGCAUAACGUCGCAAGACCAAAGAGGGGGACCUUCGGGCCUCUUGCCAUCAGAUGUGCCCAGAUGGGAUAGCUAGUAGGUGGGGUAACGGCUCACCUAGGCGACGAUCCCUAGCUGGUCUGAGAGGAUGACCAGCCACACUGGAACUGAGACACGGUCCAGACUCCUACGGGAGGCAGCAGUGGGGAAUAUUGCACAAUGGGCGCAAGCCUGAUGCAGCCAUGCCGCGUGUAUGAAGAAGGCCUUCGGGUUGUAAAGUACUUUCAGCGGGGAGGAGGGUGCUGAGGUUAAUAACCUCAGCAAUUGACGUUACCCGCAGAAGAAGCACCGGCUAACUCCGUGCCAGCCGCCGCCGUAAUAC
rnacentral:rRNA from 1 species